GGGCGGUUAGCUCAGUUGGUAGAGCGCUACAUUGACGUUGUAGAUGUCACAGGUUCGAAUCCUGUAUCGCCCAC
rnacentral:tRNA from 1 species